CUGAAAUGUAACAAUUUGGCUGUUUUAGGUACAC
rnacentral:sRNA from 1 species